UACGUAGGUGACAAGCGUUGUCCGGAUUUACUGGGCGUAAAGAGCGCGCAGGCGGUCGAUCAAGUCGAGUGUGAAAGCCCCCGGCUCAACUGGGGAGGGUCAUUCGAUACUGAUCGACUCGAAGGCAGGAGAGGGUAGUGGAAUUCCCGGUGUAGUGGUGAAAUGCGUAGAUAUUCGCAAGAACACCAGUGGCGAAGGCGGACUCACUGGCCCGGUACUGACGCUGAGGUGCGAAAGCGUGGGGAGCAAACA
rnacentral:rRNA from 1 species